CACAGCAUCCGGGACCUCCAGCGACUCCUGGAGAUAGACUCCGUGAGAAGCUGUGCUGGAGGCCCCGAGGCGGUGGAUUCCUGUGCCAGCGCCUUCGAGUUGCAAGCGUGCACGAGGACCGGGCAGUUGGUUUUUCACGUGUGGCCUUUGGGUGGAGAGACCAGCAUGUGGUCUUCGAAUGGCCAGUAGCGUGAAGUUUGUGGCCUGUGUGUCGGGUGUGCUGAGAGCAGGCCAUUCAGCAGAGCUGUGGCGGGAGCUGGGAGCUUUGUUCUCUGAGCAGCCUGGCCCGGCGCCCGUGGUCAUUGAGUAACUGAUACAUAAAUAUCCCAUCUCGGCCAUUAACGCUCCUCCAGGACGGAUGGCUGGAGGACGGCUCCCCAUCCUUUGGACAUGUGUGCAUAACAGACAAAAGGGAAAACCGUUGAUUAACUGUUCUGAGAGCAGUUUUAGGGCAUGAUUCACGCGUGGCCUUCUCUUGGGAGUCCCCACUAGUUGCAUCUCGACCUGCGUAAAUCAGAGGGCUGCCUCCGCGUCAGCGGGUCCGAGCUGCGUUUCCAGACCACCCAUCUCGAUGGGGCAGUGGAUGAGCUUGUCUGACCGGGAGCUCUCCCUCUACUCCUGACUGAGAUCGAGUCCCUGGUUCAGGUUUCAGGACAGUUGGUGGACUGGGAGGAGACUGUGUCUUCUCUGCUUAUUUGGGGGCGAGAGGCCUGGGCGGAAGGCGGUCUGGGUCUGGCCACGGGCCCCUGGGGUCUCCUGCCGGCCGUCGGCCUUGCUUGUCCUUCCGCGUCUCAGGCCUCAGUUUCCUCGGAGGUGAAGAAGUGGCAGCACCUACUGCACACAGGGCGCCGUGGCACCCCAGGCGGCGGCUGUCGCCUGGCUGGAGUGCGGCGCGGGGGUGCAGCCCGGGCGGCCGCCGUUCCACGUUCUCGUAGAAGCUCAGGAUGGACCAGCUGCUUCUGGGUUUGGCGAUGGCAAGAUGGCCACCACCAGGACAUGACUCAUAAUGUCACUUUUUCAUGAAAAAAUGCUUCUUGUAACAGUUGGUUGAUGGGAAAUUCUUGCUGCAUGAGUAGUUCUGUUCUGAUCUUAUUUUGGGUCUCAAAAAAAAUUAGUGGCAGCGGAACACAGUCAUUUUGGGGGAAGAGCUGGGUCUCCUGGACGCCGGCGUUCGAGGCAGGCGUGUCUUCUGCGUUCCCAGCGCGUUUGCCCCGUUUGUGCUCCAUUUCCGAUGAGUGCAGGUUCCAGACUUGUGGGUGUGCGGACAGUCACCAAGGCCUAGGGGCCGAGGAGCCUUUGGAGACCAGCCUGAGAGCCCACGGGGGCCAUGGCGCCAAGCAUGCGCCGGAGAAGCGGCCUGUGCCCAUUCGGAGGAAAAGAAGCAUCGAGGAAGCCAUCCCCGCGGUCUGCAAGACCAGGACGGUCAUUUACGAGAUACCUCGGAGCCAGGUGGACCCCACGUCUGCCAACUUUCUGAUCUGGCCUCCGUGCGUGGAGGUGAAGCGCUGUACCGGCUGCUGCAACACCAGCAGCGUCAAGUGCCAGCCGUCCCGCGUCCACCACCGGAGUGUCAAGGUGGCCAAGGUGGAGUACGUCAGGAAGAAGCCAAAGUUAAAAGAGGUGCAGGUGCGGCUGGAGGAGCAUUUGGAGUGCACGUGCACGAGCGCCAGCCCGAGCCCCGACCACCGGGAAGAGGAGGCGGGAAGGCGUAGGGAGUCAGGUAAAAAACGGAAAAGAAAAAGGUUAAAACCCACCUAACGCGGUCAACCAGGGUUGCCUCAUGGCCCAAGAUGGCUGCAGGAGCUCCAGAAAUCACAUCAAGCUGUAGGCUGGAAGAAAGAAGAAGAUGUGAGGUGAGGAUCAGCCAGCAGCCCUUUUCCGGGACACGGAUGUACAUGGCGUGUUACAUUCCUGAACCUACUAUGUACGGUGCUUAUUGCCAGCGUGGUCUUUGUUCUCCUCCGUGAAAACUGUCUCCAUGCACACUCUGGAGAACAAAGAGACAGUAUACGUUGUUUAUGUGACAUCAAAGCAAGUAUUGUAGCACUCGGUGAAACAAUAAGAAGCUUCCUUGUCAAAAAAAAGAGAGCAAACAAAACCACGAAACAUGACAAACAAAACUCACUCACAAAAAUAUCUAAACAUUUGCCGGAAUGGAGGGACGCCCCGAGGGAUGGAAGUGACAGACGUCUCGGCAGACUGGAUCUCUUUCCAGGGUGGUCACAGGUGCUUUGGCCAAGGACACAGAGCCUGCUUUCUGAAGGCUGCGAUCGGAUGCCGCCGGGCUCUGCAGGGGCACGCAGGAGCCAGGAAUGUCUCGGAAACCACAUCUCCUUGCUGUAGUGUUUAAGUCUAUACAGAAACCUUCCUGAGAGCCUUAAGUGGAUUUUUUUUUUACACCAUAAAGUGAUUAUUAAGCUUUCCUUUUUACUCUUUGCCUAGCUUUUUUUUUUUUUUUCUUUUUAAUUAUCUCUUGGAUGACAUUUACACCGAUAACACCAGGCUGCAGUAACAGUCAGGACGGUGGGACGGUACCUUUCCUAGCAGGAUGCAAACAAAUGAGAUGUAUUAAAAUAAACAUGGUAUACCCACCUAUGCAUCAUUUCCUAAAUGUUUCUGGCUUUACGUGUUUCUUCCUUGCCCCAUUUUACUCACUUUUUAAUUUAAGCCAUUUCGAGAGAACUGCGUGAACCAAUCACAUGCCGUCCCCGAGCCUCUUGCCCUGAGUCCCUCCCACCUGCUGCGGCCAGGCCUGGGGAUGUGGCUUUCCGGAGUGGCUGCCCAGGGUUGCUCCCUGCUGCUGCCGCUGGUGUUUGGACAGAACCUAAACUCUUUAUUUUUGGUAAGAUGUUACGCUUUACGUGUAUUCAACAGAAAUUAUGUGUGUGUGUUGUUUUUUUGAUUUUGUUUUUUUGUAAAGGUGAAGUUUGUAUUUUUGUCUAAUAUUACCGGUUUUAUAUACCUGAGAGCCUGCCAUGUUUUUUUUUGAACCAAAAGGAAAAAAACAAACCCACCAACAAAAUGCAUAUAUGUGAAAAGCAUUUGUGGCCACGUUUUUCUAGUUGCGUAGCCGAGUCCAUGCCCUGUCUGUCACAUGGCCCGUGGCCCGUGGCCCGGGUGCUGGAGCUCCCGGGUGAUGACUGGGAGAUGACAGCGUCCUGGGCUGGCCCGUGAUCCCAGGCCUGCCCUUGGGAUUCCAGAACCUACGGGAACCGGCCAAAGGAGCUGUCCUGCUGGCGCACGUGGCCUCGCGGAGACGGAGCCGUGCAUCCCCUCAGACGCCAAGUGGACUAGGAAAAAUGGAUCCCACAGAGUGCGUUGACUGCGGUGUCUGUGCGUGUGCCAGUGGACAUGGUCAGCCUUACGUCGCCCACGGCCUACUGCUCCCGUCCUCAUCGCCUCAGGGCUCGUGUGACCGUCAGGAUCCCUUUGUUGCCAUGGGAUCAUCUCUGGUGAUAGUGUCCCCGGGGUUCACCUGUUCAUGGAGAUUCUGUAAAGGAGCAUCUUCAGCGCAUCUGCACGGUGUGGUCGUGGCUGCAGCGUGACGCCUUUCAGCGAGAGCGCGUGGGGGUGGGGGUGGGCGCAGGUGGCGUGGCCCCUGGCCCCCCACAGGGGAGCGCCCCCUGUGCAGGUUCCGUGAGGGGUGCGCGCUGCCUCCGGCCCCGUGGCUGGCGUCCUGGGGCUGCGCCGUGCUCGACGCUGUGCUGCGGACACGUGUCUGACGCUGGAUGUGUAAACGUGUGAUCUGUGUAUUUACGUCCCGGCUUCCGGCCCCGUGGCUGGCGUCCUGGGGCUGCGCCGUGCUCGACGCUGUGCUGCGGACGCGUGUCUGACGCUGGAUGUGUAAACGUGUGAUCUGUGUAUUUACGUCCCGUGAGAUGCUGGGAACACUGCUCAGAGUUUCUUUGUGCAAAGCCAUCUGAUGAAUGGUCUGUCCAUUAAAGCGAUGGCGCAGAAA